UUUUUUUUUUUUUUUUUUGAAACAAUAGAUUUCUAGGGUUUCGAUUUAAAGAUUGAGAAUAAGUUUUUAUAUCUGAGAGUAUAAUAUUGUAGAUAAACAAUUCGAUUGAUAGAUGCUUCAUUUUUAUUUUUAUUUUUAUGUGUUUGUUUUAGGGUCUGGAACUGAUUUACUCAGAAAUAUUCAGGGAGUUCUUUCUUCAUUUUAGUGAUUUUCUCUUAAGGGUCUUCUUCAAUUUUCAGAAAUGGAGAUGGAAUAAUAGUUCCUGCUGCAGAUGAAGAGGUAUAAGCUGCUCCAGAGGCUACUAAGAAAGUAAUUUGAAAUUGUAAUGAAUUCCUAUUCUCUGUUAAAUCAGCGGGUAUUUGAAAUUGCAAUUCUCUUUGUGAAGGAA